AGAUUGUGGUGUGGGAAUUCUUUCUGUAGGUCCUUGAACCUAUUCCAUGCUUCCUUCACUGUCUCAUCAAGUUCUUGUUGGAAGGUAGCAAGUUUAUGUCUGAAUUC
rfam:Beta vulgaris subsp. vulgaris Bvchr8.sca016.con0049.1, whole genome shotgun sequence.